rnacentral:rRNA from 1 species
GACGAACGCUGGCGGCAGGCUUAACACAUGCAAGUCGAACGGUUCCUUCGGGGACAGUGGCAGACGGGUGAGUAACACGUGGGAAUCUACCUGGUUCUUCGGGAUAACAGUUGGAAACGACUGCUAAUACCGGAUACGCCCUUUUGGGGAAAGAUUUAUCGGAAUCGGAUGAGCCCGCGUAAGAUUAGCUAGAUGGUGGGGUAAUGGCCUACCAUGGCGACGAUCUUUAGCUGGUCUGAGAGGAUGAUCAGCCACACUGGGACUGAGACACGGCCCAG